rnacentral:rRNA from 1 species
CCUGGAGCGGUGGGUGGACCAAAGCUCCGGCGGCAUAGGAUGGGCCUGCGGCGUAUCAGGUUGUAGGGGGUGUAAUGUACCCUCUAGCCCUCUACGCGUACGGGUGUUGAGAGACAUCGCCCGGAGAUGGAUUUUGAGACACGAAUCCAGACCCUACGGGGUGCAGCAGGCGCGAAAACUUGGCAAUGCGAGAAAUCGUGACCAGGGCACUCCAAGUGCAUCGGGUAAGACCGAUGCUUUUCUUGACUCUUCAAAGGUCUUGGAAUAAGGGGUGGGUAAGGACGGUGCCAGCCGCCGCGGUAAUACCGGCGCCCCAAGUGGUAGUCGCUUUUAUUGGGCCUAAAACGUCCGUAGCCGGUCUGGUACAUUCGUGGGUAAAUCAACCAGCUCAACUGGUUGAAUUCUGCGAGCACGGCCAGACUUGGGACCGGGAGAGGUGUGGGGUACUCUCAGGGUAGGGGUAAAAUCCUGUCAUCCUGAGAGGACCACCUGUUGCGAAGGCGCCACACUAGAACGGAUCCGACGGUCAGGGACGAAGCCUAGGGGCACGAACCGGAUUAGAUACCCGGGUAGUCCUAGGUGUAAACGCUGUGGACUUGAUGUUGGGGGCGCUCCGAGCGCACUCAGUGUCGAAGCGAAGGUGAUAAGUCCACUGCCUGGGGAGUACGGUCGCAAGGCUGAAACUUAAAGGAAUUGGCGGGGGAGCACCGCAACCUGAGGAUUGUGCGGUUUAAUUGGAUCAACGCCGG